rnacentral:rRNA from 1 species
GUGGGGUAAUGGCCUACCAAGGCGACGACGGGUAGCCGACCUGAGAGGGUGACCGGUCACACUGGGACUGAGACACGGCCCAGACUCCUACGGGAGGCAGCAGUGGGGAAUAUUGCACAAUGGGCGAAAGCCUGAUGCAGCGACGCCGCGUGAGGGAUGACGGCCUUCGGGUUGUAAACCUCUUUCAGCAGGGACGAAGCGCAAGUGACGGUACCUGCAGAAGAAGCACCGGCUAACUACGUGCCAGCAGCCGCGGUAAUACGUAGGGUGCAAGCGUUGUCCGGAAUUACUGGGCGUAAAGAGUUCGUAGGCGGUUUGUCGCGUCGUUUGUGAAAACCAGCAGCUCAACUGCUGGCUUGCAGGCGAUACGGACAGACUUGAGUACUGCAGGGGAGACUGGAAUUCCUGGUGUAGCGGUGAAAUGCGCAGAUAUCAGGAGGAACACCGGUGGCGAAGGCGGGUCUCUGGGCAGUAACUGACGCUGAGGAACGAAAGCGUGGGUAGCGAACAGGAUUAGAUACCCUGGUAGUCCACGCCGUAAACGGUGGGCGCUAGGUGUGGGUUCCUUCCACGGAAUCCGUGCCGUAGCUAACGCAUUAAGCG